UUCCGGUUGAUCCUGCCGGACCCCACUGCUAUCGAGGUGGGACUAAGCCAUGCUAGUCGAACGAACUUUAUGUUAGUGGCACACUGCUCAGUAACACGUAGCUAACCUACCCUUAGGACGAGGACAACCCCGAGAAAUUGGGGCUAAUCCGCGAUAGGUGUGAUGUCCUGGAAUGGUAUCACGCCCAAAGGUGUUCGCACGCCUAAGGAUGGGGCUGCGGCCGAUCAGGCAGUUGGUGAGGUAACGGCUCACCAAACCUUUGACCGGUACGGGCCAUGAGAGUGGUAGCCCGGAGAUGGACACUGAGACAAGGGUCCAGGCCCUACGGGGCGCAGCAGGCGCGAAACCUCCUCAAUGCACACACGUGCGAAGGGGUUACCUCGAGUGCCAUCUGAAGAAGGUGGCUUUUCCAUGGUCUAAAAAGCCUAGGGAAUAAGAGGGGGGCAAGACUGGUGUCAGCCGCCGCGGUAACACCAGCCCCUCGAGUGGUAGGGAUGAUUAUUUGGCCUAAAGCGUCCGUAGCCGGCCGGAUAAGUCUCCCGUUAAAUCCAGCGUCUCAAGCGUUGGACUGCGGGAGAUACUGUCUGGCUAGAGAGUGGGAGAGGUGUACGGUAUUCUGGGGGUAGGGGCGAAAUCCUUUGAUCCCCGGAGGACCACCAGUGGCGAAGGCUGUGCACUAGAACACGUCUGACGGUCAGGGACGAAAGCUGGGGUAGCGAACCGGAUUAGAUACCCGGGUAGUCCCAGCCGUAAACGAUGCACGCUAGGUGUUGGGUCGGCCACGAGCCGCCCCAGUGCCGCAGGAAAGCCAUUAAGCGUGCCGCCUGGGGAGUACGGCCGCAAGGCUGAAACUUAAAGGAAUUGGCGGGGGAGCACCACCAGGCGUGAAGCCUGCGGUUUAAUUGGAUUCAACGCCGG
rnacentral:rRNA from 1 species